GUGGAGGAGACGAAACUCAUCUGCCUCUGUCCCUCUGGGCGCACCUCAUGCCGGUGCACCUGUGGACCUGGGCCAUGCUCCUGGGCUUCCGAAGUUGGAGAAAGCUGCCAGGCUCAGUUCUGAAGACCAGAAUUCUAAAGUAAGUCCCACUGAAGCAAGGUGGGAGCAGGGUUGUUGCCUUCCGAGGCUCUGCGGGAGAAUCUGUCUCCUGGCCCUGGAGGCGGCCUGCACUUCUCAGCUUGUGCUGCGCGUCCUGAAUGACUGGAGUUUCCUGCUUCCGUCACUACACCUCCCACCCUCUCCAUCACCUUCUCUGCUCUUAUAAGGAUCCGGUUUUCAGAGAAAUGGAAUAAUCAUAUUGCUGAUCUACAUAAGCAAGUUGAAGAAUUGUCUGAAAGAAAAUAUGGUAUGUCUAAACUGGAAAAGUCCUGUAAUCCUGUGUUCAUGAGCAUUUACACAGUGGAGUUACUCUUCAUCAUGGGGGUACCGUGGACAGGCCCAGGGCUGCUGAAAUGAACUUAUGAAUUCAACAGGUGAAGAUUUACAACUUGAUUAAAUAGCUUCAGGAGGUAGACAGAACUGGAAGAACAGUAUUUGUCCUACUUUUGAGAUGCAAGAUUUAUCUGGCGUAAUGCAUUGAACAGAUUAUUAUUGAAGUCUACACCGGUCAACUGAACAAGCAUUCGUCAAAUGUCCAUGAUACGUAGGACAGAAGGUUUUCUUUUAGGGUGUGGAGCCAUGCAUAUUAUCUUUUAAUUAGAUUUAGUUGAUAUGUUUUUAAAGAAAUAGAAGUAUAAUUGAUUUUCUUGUUUUGGCUCUGGAGUGGGGACGAAACAGAAUGGAAUGACACUGUUUAGAUUUACUAAAAUGGAAGGCUAACCAGUGAGAUCAUAUCCCAUCUCCCUGGACCUUUGGCUUUUACAGGUUGAGCUAUAAGAACAAUUAGAAAAAUGGAUAUCAUUUAAACACAGUAUGUAGAAAAGAAUAAUUUCUACAUAUUGUGAAUAAUUGCACCUGCUAGCAGUUCUUUUUUUUUUUUUUUUUA